AGUAGGUGAACCUGCGGAAGGAUCAUUA
rnacentral:ncRNA from 4 species